rnacentral:rRNA from 1 species
GCGGCACGCCUAACACAUGCAAGUCGAACGAAGUAGCAAUACUUAGUGGCAGACGGGUGAGUAACAUGUAGGUAUCUGCCCUUUGGCCUGGAAUAACACGAGGAAACUUGUGCUAAUACCGGAUAAGUCUUUACGGAGAAAGCUUUAUGCACCAUUGGAUGAGCCUGCACUUGAUUAGUUUGUUGGUGGGGUAAUG